GCCCGGGUGGCGGAAUCGGUAGACGCAGGGGACUCAAAAUCCCCCGGCCUCAAGGCCUUACGAGUUCGAGUCUCGUCCCGGGUA
rnacentral:tRNA from 1 species